rnacentral:rRNA from 1 species
UACAGAGGGUGCGAGCGUUGUCCGGAAUCACUGGGCGUAAAGGGCGCGUAGGUGGCCUGGUAAGUAGGGGGUGAAAUCUCGCGGCUCAACCGCGAGGCUGCCCCCUAAACUGUCGGGCUCGAGCAGAGUAGAGGCAGGUGGAAUUCCCGGUGUAGCGGUGGAAUGCGUAGAGAUCGGGAAGAACAUCGGUGGCGAAGGCGGCCUGCUGGGCUCUUGCUGACACUGAGGCGCGACAGCGUGGGGAGCAAACAGG